AACUCAUUCUUUUCUCUGAUCUCCAAACUAGGAACCAGAAGAAACAGAUUCUCUGAUGAAGGAGACCAACACAGCCAGGUUCCCCUAUCAGAGGAAGAAGUGCAUCAUGGUUCUGAUGAAGUAACGGAGCACAAUUCAGAAAUGUGCACUGUCUCUAUUGAUGAGAGUGUCAAGAAUGUUGAUAACUCCAAUGGAUACAAUGAACACAAGGCAUCAUUUUCUUCAUCAAACCAUUCCUGAUGCAAAGUCCCCUUCAGAAAAGGCAGCCAGCAAGUAAAAUCCUGUACUUGACUUACAGAAGAAAUCCUCUACUUGACUUACUCCAUUUAUCUGAAGAUUUACUUGACUGACGUCAUCCCACCUUCAAUCACUGCCAUUCCAGGAGAUGGCUUGUCAGAUUUGACAAUUUCACUGUUGUGAAGACAGUCAUUUACUUCCUGUGCAUGGGUUUGAAUGUGGCCCUAAAGCUCAUGUAUUAGAAACAUUAUGUAAUAGUGUUGAAGACUUUACCAACAUUUUGGAAGUAGGUUUGUUCCUGGAAACUGGAAAAUUGUUUGUUCUGAAAGUACACUCUCUUUCUCUUGACCUCUCUUGACUUUCAAACUUUUGCCAGGGAUACUGUGCCAAAAAGGCUCUAACCAGAUGAUAACACCUUAAUACUGGAAUUCCUAGCUUGUAGAAUUACAAUAAUUAAAUUUAUUUUCUUUAUAAAUUACUCAUUGAACAGCAACACCAACCAAAGACAUCCAGAACUGUGUUGACUCUUUAGAAUGUAAACAUCAGUCACUGAUCUACUACCUUCAAUAAGACGAUGGGUACCUAUGUGCAAACGAUGAGCUCCACUUAGGAAGUAAUUGUCUUAUUAAUGAACAUCACUGUUGCAGCCAGGCUAGGAGGUUACUGUGCAUUUCCACCAUGAGCUCAGCAGGCCUGUAUGAUUAGAGGCUGCUUCAAGAUCUGAUGAGAGCGGUUGGAGCAGGACUAUCCUUAGUGGAACUGUGAAGAGCCAUGCAUGGCCUGGAAACAUGAUAACCAAUGUGAUACAGUAUUAUUCCCUAGUCUUUGGUAAUGACUGUUUGAGCAUAACUGAUUAGCCUUAGAAUGAUGAAUUACAGGAUCCUGGAGAGUAAGGAUGUCAGCAUUUCCAAGGCUACUUGGGGAAGGAGAUCUUAUCAUCACUAGGACUGACCUGUCUGAUGGGAGUUACAACUGGCAACACCAGGCUGGCACAUCUGCUGAUGGAUAGAUAGCCAUGGAGAUGAUUUGAGGAAGACUUCUGGCUCAGUUGCCAUAUUGUUCAUCAGUCUUCUAACAGGUUAAGAGUUCCAUGUAACUGUUCUGCAGGGAAAGAAUGUAGAGCCUGGCUGGCUUGAUCUGUUGCCUUCAUUUUAAUAAUCAACUUAGAAUAAUGUCAGUACUUGGAAGUUUGUUGAUAUGACAUAACUGGGCUUUUUUUCUCCUUAAGUAAUCAAGUUUUUGAGACUGUAGCUCAUAGGGGAAAAAAGUGUGGUGUGAUUGCCACCUAGCUAAUCUUCUCUACCAACUGAUAUGCUUGGUAUCGUAUUUGUAUACUUUGUAUAUAGUUUUGGUAAUUUUUUGUAUAAUGUACAAGAUAUCCAUAAACAUUAAUGUGUGAAAUAUUCCAAUGUAAAUAAAAACUUCACUGAGAUAAUA